AGUGAACGCUGGCGGUAGGCCUAACACAUGCAAGUCGAACGGCAGCACCGUAAGAGCUUGCUCUUACGUGCGUCGAGUGGCGGACGGGUGAGGUAUACAUCGGAAUCUACUUUUUCGUGGGGGCUAACGUAGGGAAACUUACGCUAAUACAGCAUACGUCCUACGUGUGAAAGCAGGGGAUCUUCGGACCUUGCGCGAUUGAAUGAGCCGAUGUCGGAUUAGCUAGUUGGCGGGGUAAAGGCCCACCAAGGCGACGAUCCGUAGCUGGUCUGAGAGGAUGAUCAGCCACACUGGAACUGAGACACGGUACAGACUCCGACGGUAGGCAGCAGUGGGGAAUACUGGACAAGGGGCGCAAGCCUGAUCCAGCCAUACCGCGUGGGUGAAGAAGGCCUUCGGGUUGGAAAGCCCUUUUGUUGGGAAAGAAAAACAGCAGGUUAAUACCCCGCUGUUCUGACGGUACCCAAAGAAUAAGCACCGGCUAACUUCGUG
rnacentral:rRNA from 1 species